rnacentral:sRNA from 1 species
CCAUUGCUAGCCACUUUACGUUCUUCCUUAGGCUGAGCUCCCUCCCCACUUUCUCCCCCAAAAUCUUCUUCAAACAUCCAAAACCAAACCCUGCAUGUCACACCUUUGGAUCCCUGGGGCUCUAGGUUUUCCAUCCAUCCAAAUAUCUUGCACAUGCAUGGCCAUUUGAGAGAGAUCGGGAAGGAGGAACAGCAAGGAGCUGCAGGCUGCGAGGUUGCAGCAGCUGGAUGACACGUUUCUUUUCUGUGUUGGUAAGUUCUUUCUACAUCCAUGGCUCCCUACUUGAGUUCCUAUAAUGCUAACAAUCCCUUAUUUCUCCCCCUCCCUAUGGGUCACCGAUUUAAAUCUUGAGAGCAAAGAGCAGCUACAAUUCAUAUAUCUCCACUCCAGCAACAAUAACCCAUGUUUCCUUUGAGUUCCUCUGUUUUGGUGAGUUCUCAUGUCUCUACCUCCUGUAGAUUUAUGUUCUUAGCUUUAGGAUCAAGUACUCACGGUGCUUUUGUCCUGCAAGUAGCGCAAGGUGAGUUUUGUAUUGUUCUUCCUUGUACUACUUGAUCGUGCUCUUUCUAUAUUGAUAGUUUGAUACCCUUCUCCGGUAAACCCGUGUACCAGGCACUGCAACCUCACCAAAUGUAGGAUAUAAAUGAGCUCACACCUAUCCUUCUGCAGCCAUCAGUGGAUCAUGGUGAUUUGCAUUAGUGAUCCAAGUUGUUGUUGAGUUUGUCGUCCCUAAGAAAAUUAGGGCCAGCCUGCUGCACCUCAUCCUUUGAUUCAGAUGUUUCGGAGUACGUGGAGCAAGAACCUGAGAUUGAGUCUGAUGAUCUGCAACAACAAGGUAAGGACUCUGGCGUAGAAUUGUUCUUCCUGUGUGGUUACUGUUAUGCCGGGGGCGGGGAGGGCAGUGUAUGAUCUUCUGCUAUCUUUAGCUUGGCUCUUGCCCGGUUGGUUUGCCCUUGUGGGGUUGUGGCACCACCGGCUUUUGUUUUGUACUUAUGGCUUUUGUUUGAAUCUUCCGCUGCUACUUGUGUGCUAUUGGAUGGGACGACCCUAUUCUGUACCAGAUACUUGCUGUACUUGACCCCUUUUUAUGCACUCGUGAUGAUGU